rnacentral:rRNA from 1 species
CCUACGGGGGGCAGCAGUAGGGAAUCUUUCACAAUGGGCGAAAGCCUGAUGGAGCAACGCCGCGUGCAGGAUGAAGGCCCUCGGGUUGGAAACUGCUUUUAUAAGCGAGAAAAAAGAUGGUAACUUAUGAGUAAGGAUCGUCUAACUACGUGCCAGCAGCCGCGGUCAUACGUAGGAGCCGAGCAUUAUCCGGAGUGACUGGGUGUAAAGAGUUGCGUAGGUGGCAUAAUAAGUAGCUAGUGAAAUCUGGUGGCUCAACCAUUCAGACUAUUAGCUAAACUGUUAAGCUCGAGACCGUUAGGGGCAUCUGGAAUUUCUAGUGUAGGAGUGAAAUCCGUAGAUAUUAGAAGGAACACCAAUAGCGUAGGCAGGAUGCUGGGACGGUUCUGACACUAAGGCACGAAGGCGUAGGGAGCAAACGGGAUUAGAUACCCGUGUAGUC